rnacentral:rRNA from 1 species
CAGGCCUAACACAUGCAAGUCGAACGGUAACAGAAAGCAGCUUGCUGCUUUGCUGACGAGUGGCGGACGGGUGAGUAAUGUCUGGGAAACUGCCCGAUGGAGGGGGAUAACUACUGGAAACGGUAGCUAAUACCGCAUAACGUCGCAAGACCAAAGAGGGGGACCUUCGGGCCUCUUGCCAUCGGAUGUGCCCAGAUGGGAUUAGCUAGUAGGUGGGGUAAAGGCUCACCUAGGCGACGAUCCCUAGCUGGUCUGAGAGGAUGGCCAGCCACACUGGAACUGAGACACGGUCCAGACUCCUACGGGAGGCAGCAGUGGGGAAUAUUGCACAAUGGGCGCAAGCCUGAUGCAGCCAUGCCGCGUGUAUGAAGAAGGCCUUCGGGUUGUAAAGUACUUUCAGCGGGGAGGAAGGGAGUAAAGUUAAUACCUCUGCUCAUUGACGUUACCCGCAGAAGAAGCACCGGCUAACUCCGUGCCAGCAGCCGCGGUAAUACGGAGGGUGCAAGCGUUAAUCGGAAUUACUGGGCGUAAAGCGCACGCAGGCGGUUUGUUAAGUCAGAUGUGAAAUCCCCGGGCUCAACCUGGGAACUGCAUCUGAUACUGGCAAGCUUGAGUCUCGUAGAGGGGGGUAGAAUUCCAGGUGUAGCGGUGAAAUGCGUAGAGAUCUGGAGGAAUACCGGUGGCGAAGGCGGCCCCCUGGACGAAGACUGACGCUCAGGUGCGAAAGCGUGGGGAGCAAACAGGAUUAGAUACCCUGGUAGUCCACGCCGUAAACGAUGUCGACUUGGAGGUUGUGCCCUUGAGGCGUGGCUUCCGGAGCUAACGCGUUAAGUCGACCGCCUGGGGAGUACGGCCGCAAGGUUAAAACUCAAAUGAAUUGACGGGGGCCCGCACAAGCGGUGGAGCAUGUGGUUUAAUUCGAUGCAACGCGAAGAACCUUACCUGGUCUUGACAUCCACGGAAGUUUUCAGAGAUGAGAAUGUGCCUUCGGGAACCGUGAGACAGGUGCUGCAUGGCUGUCGUCAGCUCGUGUUGUGAAAUGUUGGGUUAAGUCCCGCAACGAGCGCAACCCUUAUCCUUUGUUGCCAGCGGUCCGGCCGGGAACUCAAAGGAGACUGCCAGUGAUAAACUGGAGGAAGGUGGGGAUGACGUCAAAUCAUCAUGGCCCUUACGACCAGGGCUACACACGUGCUACAAUGGCGCAUACAAAGAGAAGCGACCUCGCGAGAGCAAGCGGACCUCAUAAAGUGCGUCGUAGUCCGGAUUGGAGUCUGCAACUCGACUCCAUGAAGUCGGAAUCGCUAGUAAUCGUGGAUCAGAAUGCCACGGUGAAUACGUUCCCGGGCCUUGUACACACCGCCCGUCACACCAUGGGAGUGGGUUGCAAAAGAAGUAGGUAGCUUAACCUUCGGGAGGGCGCUUACCACUUUGUGAUUCAUGACUGGGGUGAAGUCGU